rnacentral:rRNA from 1 species
CCUACGGGAGGCAGCAGUGGGGAAUUUUGGACAAUGGGCGCAAGCCUGAUCCAGCAAUGCCGCGUGAGUGAAGAAGGCCUUCGGGUUGUAAAGCUCUUUUGUCAGGGAAGAAACGGUGGGGGCUAAUAUCUCCUACUAAUGACGGUACCUGAAGAAUAAGCACCGGCUAACUACGUGCCAGCAGCCGCGGUAAUACGUAGGGUGCAAGCGUUAAUCGGAAUUACUGGGCGUAAAGCGUGCGCAGGCGGUUUUGUAAGUCUGUCGUGAAAGCCCCGGGCUCAACCUGGGAAUUGCGAUGGAGACUGCAAGGCUUGAAUCUGGCAGAGGGGGGUAGAAUUCCACGUGUAGCAGUGAAAUGCGUAGAGAUGUGGAGGAACACCGAUGGCGAAGGCAGCCCCCUGGGUCAAGAUUGACGCUCAUGCACGAAAGCGUGGGGAGCAAACAGGAUUAGAUACCCUGGUAGUCCACGCCCUAAACGAUGUCUACUAGUUGUCGGGUUUUAAUACUUGGUAACGCAGCUAACGGNGUGAGUAGACCGCGUGGGAGUACGGUCGCAAGAUUAAACGUAAAGAUUAGACGCGUAGAGAGNGACGACGACGACGACGAGGGAGUUAGG